rnacentral:rRNA from 1 species
GAGUUUGAUCCUGGCUCAGGACGAACGCUGGCGGCGUGCCUAACACAUGCAAGUCGAGCGGAGGUAGUUUGACGGUAACUGAUAACUACUUUAGCGGCGGACGGGUGAGUAACACGUGGGCAACCUGCCUCGAAGUGGGGGAUAACACCGAGAAAUCGGUGCUAAUACCGCAUAACAUACAGACACCACCUGGUGACUGUAUCAAAGGAGAAAUCCGCUUUGAGAUGGGCCCGCGGCUGAUUAGCUAGUUGGUGAGGUAAUGGCUCACCAAGGCGACGAUCAGUAGCCGACCUGAGAGGGUGACCGGCCACACUGGAACUGAGACACGGUCCAGACUCCUACGGGAGGCAGCAGUGGGGAAUAUUGCGCAAUGGGGGAAACCCUGACGCAGCAACGCCGCGUGGAGGAAGAAGGUCUUCGGAUUGUAAACUCCUGUCUUCUGGGACGAUAAUGACGGUACCAGAGGAGGAAGCCACGGCUAACUACGUGCCAGCAGCCGCGGUAAUACGUAGGUGGCGAGCGUUGUCCGGAAUUACUGGGCGUAAAGGGCGCGUAGGCGGUUCUUUAAGUUAGAUGUGAAAACCCAGGGCUUAACUUUGGGAGUGCAUUUAAAACUGAAGGACUCGAG